UCUUUUAUUUUUCUAUUUUUUUCUUUCUUCUCAGUUCUCACUCUUGUUUUUGUAUUCUUAUUCGACUCAGUGAAGCGAGGAGAUGAAAGAUUGACGGAUGAUUAGAUUGAUGAGAAUGAACCAACCAACCUCUCCCUUCUUUUCCAUAAAAUCAACCAGGAGAAAAAAAUCAUAUCAUCUCAAACCCUAAAAUCGAAGAGACGAUUAUUUCCCUCCCACUUUCCGAACCUCUCAUUUUCCAAAUAUCUCAAAGGAAGAGUUAGAGAACGAAUCAAAGGAAAAGCGCUCCUCAAAUGUGACUCUCUCACUAUCAAUGUGUCGUUCUCGCAAAAUCUGUAGUUCUAAUGUAUCGACUUAAUCUUUCUACCAUCUAUGUAUUUCUUCUAUUAAUUUCGAUUAUUUCAAUGUUGUUCCUUUCAUUGUAUGGAUUGAUGAGGAAACAAGCUUUGAUUUUUUGUUAAACUAGUUUUUUUCUAGGUUUUGUGGAUUUCGUUUUUAGGCUAUCACUCUAUCGAUCUCGCAGUAUCCGUAGUUUCAAGGUAAACUUGGUUAAACUAUCUUUUGUUCUACAUAUAUGUAAAUUUAGUUUUUUUGGGAUUUAAUUUUUUAUUAUGUUAUGGGUUUGCUUGUUCUAGAUAUCUAACUUUCAUGUAAUGGAGAUGUUAAGAUCCAAACUGGUACGCUGGGUGUUUUUAUAAAACCAGAAGGAGUUUGCGCCAGGGUUUCUAUUGGACAGGGCGUUUUCUUAUCCCUUUUUAAGGACAACAAUAACCACCAUUCGAAAGAGGCCCUUCAUCAUGCUAAGUUUAACUUCCCCGGUCGUCAAAAGAUAAUGGUAGUUCUUUCAUAAAGGAAAAAAUUCAGCUUAAGAGAUGAACACACAUACAUUGAGAUUGAAGGAGCAGUAUUUGAAGAUGGUAAAGGUUUAAGCAACUGGGAGUAUUCAGUCAUACAAUAGGUUAAUUUUACUAAUUAUUUCAUUAUGUAACUUAGCUUAAUGUCGAAAAAUGAAUGAUAAUAAUUACAAUACAAUUGCCAAUUUGUAUUGACAAUUUUUUAGGAAAGAUAAAUAAUGAUGAAAAUGGUGAUGUAGCAGUUGAUCAUUAUCAAUGCUAUUUGGUAAGCAACUGCCAUCGCUAUUUGAAUUUGAUGGAAAUUCACUUAUAUAGAUUUGCAAUUUCAUAGACUAGGAUUCUACCUUGUAAGUAUUUCGAAAUUCACAUGACUUAUUUAUAUUUAUAAUUCAAAUUAGCUUCUUAAUUAAUUCCUUGUGCAUGAGCUAUAACAGGUAGGUUAUAUGGAGGACACAAAUCCAUUUGGGGUUAUGUUCUUCAACAAUCUUAUUGACAAUAUGCUACUUAGAGGUGAGUAGCAAUAUUUCUAGUGCUCACAAGUGCGGAUCUCCUAGUUCCUCAGUAGCAUCUAGUGAUGUUUACUCUUGGUUGCUUCCAAAAGGGCCUGAAAUUUUUUCUGAACUCCUCUUCCCAAUAAUCUAUUGAUACAUCAGCUUCUUUGUUACCUUAAAAUUGCUAUUAUUGAUUAUUCUGUUUCAGCAGUACCCAAUAUGAUGAAAAUAUAAUUGGGACAAGUUAUCAGGUCUUGAAUAUUGCAUGUAGUGAUGUUUAUAUGGCAUGAUGGCAUCUAAGUUAUGUUCCUAAUGUUUUAGCUAUUAUUGAUGUACAAUUCCUUCUAUCAGGUUGUGUGGGUGCUUCAUUUUACAUUAGUUGCUGCUGUGUGAUAAGUUGAUGUUUCUUAUUAUUCAAUGCCAUGGUUAUGGCAGUGAAGAAACCCUAAUGUCAAAUGGAGAAAACUGUUUCAGGAUCUGGUCUUUUUGGAUAGAUCUUUCACAAGCAAUUAGUUAUCUGUCACAUCUCACCCUCGUUUUGAUAUUUAUUUUGAUUUUCCGCUCACUGCAUUUCUAAUUUCCAUUUCAAUUUAUUGUUCCUUAGGUUUUGGUUUCAAUUUGGCAUGCACUAUAUUUCCUUGUUUCAAUUUCGGUUUGAAUAUCAAUUUCGAUUUCAAUUUCAAUUUACUACUCACUACAUAUUUCGGUUUCGAUUUCAGUUUCCAUGUUUUGAUUUCAAAUUCCAUGUUUCGAUUACAAUUUGAAGGUGGUGGAAUGUUCAAUAUCAAUUCAGCAAAUGAUGAGUGCUGAUGAAGUGUUCUGCACAAGACUACAAAGAUUGUUUCAUCUGUUACAUCUCUAACAUAUAAGAAAACAAGGUAAUUAAACUUCACUUUUAAUCAAGAAUUUUCUCUUUAUCUUAAAUGUUUUAUGUUCUCAUUCAUUCCAGUACUAAAAAAUGGUUUUAUUUUGACAAUGUUGUGCUUCUUUUUUGUUAGGCAUGACAAUACUUGAUGCUAUGAAAUACAUUCGACCCGAUGUGUUUACUAUCUUCCUCAUGUUGAUAAUCUGUUACUAAAUGACUGAACUGAAAUUAUCAUUGAUGGUAACUGUAUACUUUUUUCUGUUUUGUUUCUUUGUUCUGUAGGAUGGGAUUUUCUUACCAUACGAAAAUGUACUCAACUAUGAUAGCUUUGCCGUUCGAAUAUCAGAAGAAGAAAUUCCCAACAUGAUAAAGAUUCUUCGGGGGUUCAAUGAAACAGAAAUCAAUUUGAAGCUAGCGAAUGUUCAGAAAAUCUGGCAAAGAUUCUUGUAUCGCGAUUCUAUUUUGCUUGAAGCUGAAAGGCAAAAAGCUGUGUUUGGACAUGUUGAUGAUUGGGCAGUUGAAUUCUUAAAAUUCACAGAGGAUGAUGUCACCACAACUUUAAUACAAGUAUGUAUAUUUUUUAAACUAUUCUAGAUUUGAUGUUGCACUUUGCUAGGUAUUAGCAGCUAGAUGUUUUUUUUUUUUAAAUGGGCAAUGUUAAAAUUGUUAAUAAUUUUUAGCGUAAACCUUAUAUCUCGUAGCAACUGUUAACAAUAGAAGUGAUAGAGUAGAGAAAGAGAAAGAACUUAUGAAAUAAGGGUUACAGUGAGAAUAUAUAGUUAGCUAGAGUAGAGAAAGAGAAAGAACUUAUGAAAUAAGGGCUACAGUGAGAAUAUAUAAUAAUUCUUGUUGAAAUUCUUGUUGAGUUCACCAGAGAAUAAGGAAUGUGCAGCUUCUAUAGUUAAUCAUUUACGAUUUGGAAAUAAACUUUUGUAUGUACCUGUUAACCAUUGAUAAUGGUAGUAGACUCGCUGAAAUGAAUGUAUUGGGUGGAUCUCUCUUGUGAACUAUGUACUGCACUUGUAUUGAUAGUUAAAGUAUGAUAUAUUGAUGUUAGAAUUAAGAAUUUAUUGUGAGAUAUCUAGAAGCUUAUUUGUCACUAAAGUAAUUUGUGCGACUUCAUGCUAUAAUAAAUACAAGAUAUAUUGAAAAUAGUGAGAAUAAUAUAAAGAAUAGAAUGAGGAAUAAUAAGAGGAUGCUUUAUUGAAUGAUUGAAAAAGAGUUAUAGAGAUCAAGAAAUCUACUGCCACGGAGCUGAGCUCGUAUGGAGUGCUUAGUAGCUCUCCAUUCUAAUGAUCAUCGAGCUAGUAAAAUUGUCGUGGAGUUGAAUGGAAGAUGGAACAAGUGUGGUGUUCUUAGUCCUCGUUUUGAUGUCGGUGUUAAAGAAUUGAGGGGAUGUAGAUGUUAUGAUGAUUGGACGGACUGAGUCAAACAUUGAUGCAUUAUCAAUUGCAGGAUUCUACAGGUAAAUUAUAGCCAACAUUAUAUUUUUAUGUUAGUGCCAACCACCAUAUUAGUUCUCUAUCCUUUGUUCCUUUGAAUUUUUACAUCAAAGAUAUAACUGAUUAGAGAUAAACUUGACUUGGUUUGGUUUGGCUUGAACUUUUGAAGGAUUAGUGCUUUGUCUUUGCUUGUUGGGGUAGAAGACUUGGCUGUGAACUUGGCAUGGACUUGUUGUGGUGAAGAGGAGGUAGUUAAAGAUGAAACUUCAACCUCACUCAGUACCAUAUGAAAGUUCUGUAUGUGUUAUUUAUUUUAGGUUGUUUUAUUACACUAGGAAGUUGGUCGUAGAUACGAAUUUACUGAACUAAUGUAUGGCAUUUUCUUUUCUAUUUUCAUAUAUUAUCAAUAAUACUUGUUGUAAUAGGAGUAAUACUCAGGUUGUUAAAGGGAUGUAAUUGCAAUAAUAAUUGUUGUUACUAUUAGUAAUGUUUAAAUUAUAAUAGAUUUUCAGUGGCAUGAUUUUGGCCUUUUUUUAUAAGCUAUUCCGCAUU